GGACCUUGAGAAGUCAAAUGCACCUUUGCUUGACUACUUGGCCAAUGCAGGAUGUCUGAGGCCUAUGCGGUCGAUAAGAGACAGGGAUUUGCUGGUACAAGACAUUGUCAUGUUUCAGGUCAUCCACAGGGUUCAAGGUCCAUUUCAAAGAUUCUGUGAAGGACUGAAAACUCUUGGGGUUCUGGACCAAAUACGACGACAUCCAGACAGGUUUCGACCCCUGUUCUGCUAUGAGCCGAA